AAUCGAACCCGGAGAUAGCUGGUUCUCCUCGAAAUAGCUUUAGGGCUAGCCUCAUGGAUCAUUGGUGGGGGUAGAGCACUGAAUGUGCGCGGGGGCCACAAAGCCUACCAAACGCUAUCAAACUUCGAAUACCAUACAAUGCAGACCAUGGGAGUCAGUCCGCGAGAGAUAAGUUCCGCGGGCAAAAGGGGAACACCCCAGAUCAACCGCUAAGGUCCCCAAGUUCACGUUAAGUGGAGAAGGAUGUGGAAUUGCACAGACAACCAGGAUGUUGGCUCAGAAGCAGCCACACAUUUAAAGAGUGCGUAAUAGCUCACUGGUCGAGUGAUUGUGCGCCGAAGAUGUCCGGGGCUAAACGUGACACCGAAGCGAUGGGUGCAUCUGAAAGGAUGCGCGGUAGAGGAGCAAUGUGCAGAGGCAGAAGCCGUAUCGAGAGGCACGGUGGACACUGCACAAGAGAGAAUGCCGGUAUGAGUAGCGAGAGGCAUGCGAGAAACAUGCCCGUCGAAAGCCCAAGGUUUCCUGGGGAAGGUUCAUCCGCCCAGGGUAAGUCGGGGCCUAAGCCGAGGACGGAAGUCGUAGGCGAUGGACAGCAGGUGUAGAUUCCUGCACUACCGAUGGAAUGAAGCAGUGACACAGAAGGAUAACUCGAGCAGGGUGAUGGUCAACCCUGUGCAAGCAUCAAGGUUGGGUUGUAGUGAAGUACGCAAUCCUAUAAGCUGAGAUGUGAUGCGGACCGAAAUUUCAGUAGGGAAGCGAGUGAGUUCACGCUGGCGAGAAAAGCUGCUAGUACAUCCAAAGGUACCCGUACCGGAAACCGACGCAGGUGGGCGAGGAGAGAAUCCUGAGACGAACGGGAGAACCCUUGUUAAGGAACUCGGCAAAAUGACCCCGUAACUUCGGGAUAAGGGGUGCCUGCGAGAGCAGGCCGCAGAGAAUAGUCACAAGCGACUGUUUAGCAAAAACACAGGUAUCUGCGAAAGCGAGAGCUGACGUAUAGGUGCUGACACCUGCCCGGUGCUGGAAGGUUAAGGGAACAUGUUAGAGCAAUCGAAGCAUCGAACCGAAGCCCCAGUAAACGGCGGCCGUAACUAUAACGGUCCUAAGGUAGCGAAAUUCCUUGUCGGGUAAGUUCCGACCCGCACGAAUGGUGUAACGACUUGUGAGCUGUCUCAACAGGGGGCCCGGUGAAAUUGAAGUAUGGGUGAAGAUGCCCAUUACCCGCGACUGGACGGAAAGACCCCGUAGAGCUUUACUGCAGCCUGAUAUUGAGUUUCGGUAACUGAUGCACAGGAUAGGUGGGAGUCUGAGAGACAUGGGUUUCGGCUCGUGUGGAGACGCUGUUGGGAUACCACUCUUCGGUUACUGAAAUUCUAACAUAGCUCUGUGAAACCAGAGGAUGGACAGUGUCAGGUGGACAGUUUGACUGGGGCGGUCGCCUCCGAAAGAGUAACGGAGGCGCCCAAAGGUACCCUCAGAAUGGAUGGAAACCAUUCGAAGAG
rnacentral:rRNA from 1 species